AAUACAGCAUGCCCAGGUCAAUUUGAAUUUCAGAUAAACAAUGUCUAUUUUUUUAGUAUAAGUAUGUUCCCUGCAAUCGUUGGGACAUACUCAUACUAAAGCAUUAUUUUUUUUCUCUCUGAAAUUCAAAUUGAACUGGGUGCCCUGUAUUUU
rnacentral:miRNA from 1 species